UACGGAAGGCAGCAGUGGGGAAUAUUGCACAAUGGGCGAAAGCCUGAUGCAGCUAUGCCGCGUGUAUGAAGAAGGCCUUAGGGUUGUAAAGUACUUUCAUCGGGGAGGAAAAACAAAACUAAUAAUUUUAUUUCUUGACGUUACCCGAAAAAGAAGCACCGGCUAACUCCGUGCUAGCAGCCGCGGUAAUACGGAGGGUGCUAGCGUUAAUCAGAAUUACUGGGCGUAAAGAGCACGUAGGUGGUUUUUUUAAGUCAGAUGUGAAAUCCCUGGGCUUAACCUAGGAACUGCAUUUUGAAACUGAAAUACUAGAGUAUCGUAGAGGGAGGUAGAAUUCUAGGUGUAGCGGUGAAAUGCGUAGAUAUCUGGAGGAAUACCUGUGGCGAAAGCGGCCUCCUAAACGAAUACUGACACUGAGGUGCGAAAGCGUGGGGAGCAAACAGGGAUUAGAUACC
rnacentral:rRNA from 1 species